rnacentral:ncRNA from 2 species
CCGUAGGUGAACCUGCGGAAGGAUCAUUAG